UCCCUGGUGAACUAGUGGCUAGCAUGUGGUGCUCUCACCACCAUAGCCUGGGUUCAAUUCCUGGUCAGGGAA